rnacentral:rRNA from 1 species
GAAAGUGACGGUACCUGGAGAAGAAGCACCGGCCAACUACGUGCCAGCAGCCGCGGUAAUACGUAGGGUGCGAGCGUUGUCCGGAAUUACUGGGCGUAAAGAGUUCGUAGGCGGUUUGUCGCGUCGUUCGUGAAAACUUGGGGCUUAACUCCAAGCGUGCGGGCGAUACGGGCAGACUUGAGUACUACAGGGGAGACUGGAAUUCCUGGUGUAGCGGUGAAAUGCGCAGAUAUCAGGAGGAACACCGGUGGCGAAGGCGGGUCUCUGGGUAGUAACUGACGCUGAGGAACGAAAGCGUGGGUAGCGAACAGGAUUAGAUACCCUGGUAGUCCACGCUGUAAACGGUGGGUACUAGGUGUGGGUUCCU